CUUGUACAGAAACAAUAUGUUGUCGAAAUUCUGUUCGUAUCUUUUAGACAUCGUAUGGCCAUCGCGCCAUCAUCGUAAUCCAUCGUGUAGCCUUUGUAAUCCAUCGUGUAGCCUUCGUGAUCCAUCGUGUAGGCUUCGACUGAGAUAUGAAGCUUAAAAACCCGUCUUCGGUUAACCUUCGUAUGUCCAUCUUUUGCUAUCGUAUAUAAUAUCGGCACCAUCGUAUAGACUUCGUUAUUCAUCGUACUUGCUUCGGUCACUUUUUGGUAUUUUAACGAGAUCG
rnacentral:lncRNA from 1 species